rnacentral:lncRNA from 1 species
UCCUCUUUUGCUCUUUACAGGACCUGAAAUUUCACUCUCUCCAGCUCUUUCAGGCUUUAAAGAGUUCUAUGAAACUAAGAACUGCAGAUAGGAGUGAUAUUUUAAGUAACUCACCAGGAAGAGCCUAAAUUUCCCAGGCCAUCUCUGCUGGCUGUGCUGCACUAUACCUAUCAAGAUUGGAUCAGUUUGUGAUUCUAUGCAGUUUAUCAAAUGAAAUCAUCAUCUGAAAAAGGGCACAGAGAACAUCCAAAU